AAUCUAGAUCAUAAAACAUACUGGGGCUAUGCAGAGUGGCUCUGUCAAUAUGAAUCUUACUGUGACUAGGUGAACUCACGCCACACUGGACAGGAAUGGGUUAACUCCUCCUUGCUGGCUGAGGAAGCCCCGCCCCCAAAUCCCUACUGAGCAUGCCCCAACUCCAGUACCAGUAUAACAGUGAGCAGCUUAGCUCAGUCUGGGCUGACUAUCAGAGAGGAAGGAUGACCAUUGCAGGCUCUAGAGCCAUGGCAUCCCCCAACAGGAGGAGCCAAGACCCCAGCAGAGAUCCAAAUACCUGUGGACAUGCUAGGGACUUCGGAGCCACUGGAAACAGCCUAGGCAGAGGAUCCUGGGAACCCUAAAGCCACCAAGGUCACAGAUGCAGGAGUCGAACAAUCAACUCUAUCAGCCAGACGGUGGAAGGAGACUACAGAUUCCUCAUGCAGAAUAUCACUGUUUGGACUUUUUCAGCUGCGUUCAAGCAUGAAUCAGCUGUCGUACUUUACUCCAUUUCUCCACAAGGGUGCUGCAAUUGAGCUUCACAUAAAGUACGUGUAACAGCAAACAAGCUUCAACCCUUGCCUGCCACUGGGCUCCUUUUAUUUUGAUUUGAACCAAUCUGCUCUUUCAAAAUUCUCAUUAUCCAGAUUGGAGAUACAGAGGGUUUGAUUUUUCACUACCUUUCAAUUUGUUUAGUCAUUUACAGCUGUACAAAGUGAAUAAAAAGUGUAAAACACUACCAGUCCACUUCAGUA